CGUCACAACGGCUUCCUGGCGUGGCGCUGAAAUCAUUAACGGAGCA
rnacentral:ncRNA from 1 species